CAAUCCUUUUUUGAGAGCCGAAUGAAAAUACUCAAUUCUCGGUUUCGCUCUGGAUCCCGGUCGGCUUUCUCUCUCCUGUGAGAUUUUUCUCUCCCCCUUAAAAAAAAAAAAAAAAAAAACCGCUCAAAGGUCGAUACACAGAAACAAACGUGUCUAUGAUUUGAUGGAAGAAAUAUUCGGCAUUUUUGGGCUUGUGUGGAUGCUGAGUUAAAAUCUGGUUGCAGUGGGUUCAACACUUUUGGUGGAGAACGAGUCAUGUAUUGCUCUUUCACCUAGGGCCUAUGAAUCAAAGCAAACAUGUGGCAAAAGGGUAGCCUUCUUAGGCUUACGUUCUUCACAUGAGGCAAUUGUAUAUUGGGCAGUUGGGGUCUGGCAUUUCUUCGAUCCCGAAUCAGAGAUGGAGUGCAACAAGGAAGAGGCUGUUAGAGCUAAGGGAAUUGCCGAAAAGAAGAUGCAAAAUAAGGAUUUUGUGGGUGCUCGGAAGGUUGCCAUUAAGGCCCAACAGCUCUUUCCGGAACUUGACAACAUCUCUCAGAUGCUCACUGUCUGCAAUGUGCAUUGCUCUGCUGAGGUCAAGGUCUCAGGGUCAGAGAUGGAUUGGUAUGGGAUUCUCCAAUUAGAUCAGACAGCAGAUGAAACAUCCAUCAAGAAGCAGUACCGAAAGCUCGCUCUUCUACUUCAUCCUGAUAAAAACAAGUUUUCAGGUGCAGAGGCUGCAUUUAAGCUGAUCGGGGAAGCACAUAGAGUCCUUACAGACCAAGCAAAACGGUCCUUGUAUGACAUUAAGAGAAGAGCCAAUGUUAGGACAGCCGCAGCUAGGCAGCCUCCUCCACAUAUGAAUAGGAACUCUUAUCCUAGGAGACAACAAGGUGCUCAGAACAAUUCUACGAAUCAUGCCACUUCAAAUUUUUCAGGCGCAAAUCAGCAGCAAGGACAAAGUGUCCCAACAUUCUGGACACUCUGUCCUUUUUGUGGUAUAAGAUAUCAAUAUUACCGAACUAUUGUGAAUCGAGCUCUCCGUUGCCAAAAUUGCCAGCAGUCGUUUAUUGCUUACGAUAUUAAUGUCCAAGGCACUGCACCAGGAGCUAACCCAGGAUAUGCAUGGAACCAAUCUGCAAAUCCUCAGCCAAAUGAGGUCCCUAAUCAGGGUGCUCAUAAUAUGGGGUGGCAAGGUAAUGCUGGGAACGCUUCCAGCAUGGGGUUUCAUGCGGCAUCAGAACCCUUCUCAAAACGAGGAUCCAAUGCUGACUUUGGUGGUGGAGCCCAAAACAAGGCGACAGAAGAUGGGGAAAUGAAUAGGAGGGCACAUAUGGGGAAACCAUCUGAAAAUGCAAGCCGGAAGAGGGGAAGAAGGAUGGUGGUAGAAGAGUCCAGUGAGAGCUGUGAUUCUGAUAGCACCACAGAUGUAGAAGAUUUAGAAGAAGAGGUGCAGAAUGUUGAAGUCACAAGUAGCCGUUAUCCACGCCGAUCAACGAGGCAAAAGCAACAUGUUACUUACAAGGAAGAUAGGAGUGAUGAUGAUGACUUUGUGAACCCUCCUAGUUCUAAAAGGUCAAGGGGUGGUGGAUCCUCAGCUGGUGCGAAUGAUCAGAGUGAUGAGGCUUCUUCAAAUGAUGAGGCUUCUUCAAAAGAUGAGGCUUCCUUCGAAGAUGAGAAAGAAGCCAAACACAAAGGAAGUGUACCUUCUGAAGAAAGCUUACCGAACGGAAAAGAACGGUCGGGAAAGCUUAAGAAAAGUGAGAAGGAACAAACUGAGGUUGGUAACGAGGAGAGUUUCAAGCCUAAAGACAAUUCUGAAGCAAACCCUACCAUCGAUUCAAGACCCAAGGCCACAUCAACUUCCAACUCUAUUCCCUACUUGGCAGCUGAAUUCAAUGACUUUGAGAAUGAUAGAAUGGAAGGCAAUUUUGAUGUCGAUCAGAUCUGGGCACUCUAUGAUGAUUCAGAAGGCUUGCCAAGAUUCUAUGCUCGUAUUAGGAAAGUCUUCUCGCCAGAGUUCAAGUUGCGGAUCACAUGGCUAGAAGCCCUUCCCAACCCAGAAGACCAAAAUGAGGUCAAUUGGUUUGAAGAGGAAUUGCCUGUUGCUUGUGGGAACUUCAGACUAGGGAGGACUGAAGUGACUGAUGAGCGUGGUAUCUUCUCCCAUUUGGCUUCUUGCGAGAAGGGCGUGGCUAGAGGUACAUACAAGAUAUAUCCUAAAAAGGGUGAAGUUUGGGCUCUCUUCAAGGGAUGGAAUAUCAACUGGAGCUCUGAUCCGUAUCUGCACCGAACAAAUAAAUUUGAAAUUGUUGAAGUCCUUUCUGAUUAUUCAGAUGAGACUGGCGUUGAAGUUUCAUAUGUGGUCAAGUUGAAAGGGUUCAUAAGCCUGUUUCGGCGAUGUACAAACAGGGAAAAGAAACCAUUUCAAAUACCCCCAAAUGAGAUUCUCCGAUUUUCCCACAGGAUUCCUCAUCACAGAAUGACAGGAGGCGAAAGAGAAGGUGUCCCAGAAGGGUCUUUGGAACUUGAUCCAGCUUCAGUGCCUCAUGUCACCCAAGAGUCUAAAUCUUCAACUGAAAAGGAGGUGCCUGCCACUGGGUCCGACAAAUUCAAGACCCCCAAGAUGAAGGUAGAGCCAGACAUGAAGAAUCCCCUGGAAAAGGAGAAUCCGGAUUGCUCAGUCCGUUCUCCCAGGGGGGUGAAUGGGGCCCAUGAUAAGAAAGAGAAGAAUGUAAAUAGUGGGAAGAAAGGCAUCCUCAAUGACUUUCCCAAUACUAAACACGGUGAAGCAAAUGCAACCAAACGUCAGGCAGAUAAGAAGGACAAGCAUUUAGAUGGGGGAAACACCAGUCCUUGUGAUGCUGCAGAAUGCCCUAAUUACUCUCCUGCACCACCUCUCAGUGACCAGAUUGUGUACCCAGCUCCUGAGUUCCAUGACUUUGAGAAAAAUAAAUCCAGAGAUGAGUUUCAGCCUGGUCAAAUAUGGGCACUGUACAGUGACAUAGAUACAUUGCCCAAGUUCUAUGCUCAGAUUAAGAAAGUUCAAUCAGCAGGAUUUGAAGUGCAUAUAACAUGGCUAGAACCAUGCUCCACGUCAGAGGGGGAGAUGCAGUGGGCCAACGAUGACCUACCUGUCAGCUGCGGAAUGUUUAAGCUUACACGCGAGACCGAGAUGUAUUCAGAAACUUCGGUGUUUUCUCAUCAGGUACAUGCAGGGCCCACUUUGAGGAAGGGAAGAUUCAACAUCUAUCCUAGGAAAGGUGAGAUCUGGGCAUUAUACAAGGAUAUCAGCACUGAAUGGACCCGUACUGACCUGAAGAACUGCAAAUAUUUCAUGGCAGAAGUCCUCGAAGAUUCUGGUCCUAAGUUGUGUGUUUCGAUUUUGGAGAAGGUUAACGGAUUCAACUCCGUUUUUAAAGGAAUUUGUGUCACAAUGGAGAUAGCACGGGAUCGCAUGCUGAGAUUCUCCCAUCAGGUUCCUGCUUUCCGCCUAACAAAGGAGAGAGGCGGGAAGCUGAAAGGCUGUGUCGAACUUGACCCAGCAGCGGUGCCGCCUUCUUUCUUUCAUAAAACCUCAAAGUGAAAUCAUAGGGGGUGGGUCUGUCAUUUCGCAGCCAGUAGUUUGCAGGAGCUUUCGUGGAGCUCCAUGUGAAAGUACAUGGAAAUGAGGAGUGCUUGCUGGUUCUUUCUUAGGCCCCAACAUCCAAAGCCCCCAAAGUGCUCUUGAAACGGGAGGACAGCCGAUCGUGGGACUCUGGUCCAUUUGCAAACCGUUGAGGAGAGUGGUGUUUUCACCUACUUGAUCAGUCUGGAUUCCAGUCCCAGAGUAAUUAUACAAUACCUGGUGACAGAACAAGUGGGGGCAGUGAUUGGCAUGAUCUGGACUGUUAGUGCGAUGACCCCCCACCGUGGAGGGACCAUGACAGAAAUAACUUCCAGAUUAGAGGAUGCUGUCCAUGUAGUGAAGACUCACUGGUAUCGAAUGUAGACUGUUGCCGUGAUUGACCGUAACCCUGUAUAUGCACAGGCAGCUGAUUGUCCAAGGUAUUGGUUAUGGUCUACCCACCAUAUUGUCCAAGGCAUGCGUAGAACCAACUCAAGAAGGAUCAAGGAUCCCAUGAUUUGGUUGGAAAAUGAUAGGAGCGAAUCACUCCAAAAACUACACUAAUUUAUGAGAUCAUAUACAUGGGAAAUGAGUAUUCAGAAAUGAUUGUUAACAUGUCUUGAUGUUAUUUUGUGAGCUUUGAUAUUGUUUUUUACUGAAAUUUUAUGCCGUCCUAUAUGUAUCAAGAUACUCGUUCAUGUAACUAUCUGAUACAUAUAUGGUUCCUGUUACACGAUUUUA